AUUUACUUAGUAUAAUCAGUAUAAUUAGCUUCCAACUAAAAAGUUCAUAAAUAUGAAGUAAGUA
rnacentral:tRNA from 1 species